ensembl:miRNA MIR592 microRNA mir-592
UGAUAUUAUGCCAUGACAUUGUGUCAAUAUGCGAUGAUGUGUGUGAUGGCACAGCGUCAUCACGUGGUGACGCAACAUCAUGACGUAAGACGUCCCAACGGCCAAUUAA